rnacentral:rRNA from 1 species
AUCAACGCUGGCGGCGUGCCUCAGACAUGCAAGUCGAACGAUUAAAGCUCUCUUCGGAGAGUGUAUAGAGUGGCGCACGGGUGAGUAACACGUAAGUAAUCUACCCUCGAGUGGGAAGUAACGUCCGGAACGGACGCUAAUACCGCAUAAUGCAGCGGCACCGCAAGGUGACAGUCGUUAAAGAUUUAUCGCUUGAGGAGGAGCUUGCGGCAGAUUAGCUAGGGUUAAGGUAA